UACGGAGGGUGCGAGCGUUGUCCGGAAUCACUGGGCGUAAAGGGCGCGUAGGCGGCAUGCCAAGCGUGUGGUGAAAGCCCGGGGCUCAACCCCGGGUCGGCCGUGCGGACUGGCGUGCUCGAGCACUGUAGGGGCGGGUGGAAUUCCGGGUGUAGCGGGGGAAUGCGUAGAGAUCCGGAAGAACACCGGUGGCGAAGGCGGCCCGCUGGGCAGGAAGGCUCGCAAGAGCCGGCUGACGCUGAGGCGCGACAGCGUGGGGAGCAAACAGG
rnacentral:rRNA from 1 species